ACAGAUUCUUAGAUAUUGUACCAUUACUCGUUAUUACAAGUGUAUUACAGUUAUAAUUAUUAUAUACAAGGUCAAAUUCAAUGUUUAUUUUAAUAUAUUUAAGUUCAACUACUGCGGUUGUAAUUAUACAAUGAGGCUCAACUGCAGCACUUAGAAUUACGCUGAAAUUAGCCGCACUUGAAACUGCAGCACUUGAAAAAAGUAAUUAUAAACAAAAACAAAUUUAUGUCCCUAGUAAUCUUUUUUUUCAAAAACAAAUAUUUUUUUUUCUGUAC
rnacentral:lncRNA from 1 species